rnacentral:rRNA from 1 species
CAGUCCGCGGUAAUACAGAGGGUGCGAGCGUUAAUCGGAUUUACUGGGCGUAAAGCGUGCGUAGGCGGCUUCUUAAGUCGGAUGUGAAAUCCCUGAGCUUAACUUAGGAAUUGCAUUCGAUACUGGGAAGCUAGAGUAUGGGAGAGGAUGGUAGAAUUCCAGGUGUAGCGGUGAAAUGCGUAGAGAUCUGGAGGAAUACCGAUGGCGAAGGCAGCCAUCUGGCCUAAUACUGACGCUGAGGUACGAAAGCAUGGGGAGCAAACAGGAUUAGAUACCCCCGUAGUCCCUGUCUCUUAUACAC